rnacentral:rRNA from 1 species
UACGUAGGGUGCGAGCGUUAAUCGGAAUUACUGGGCGUAAAGCGUGCGCAGGCGGCGCGUUAAGACAGGUGUGAAAGCCCCGAGCUUAACUUGGGAAUUGCGCUUGUGACUGGCGGGCUGGAGUGUGGCAGAGGGAGGUGGAAUUCCACGUGUAGCAGUGAAAUGCGUAGAGAUGCGGAGGAACACCGAUGGCGAAGGCAGCCCCCCUGGGCUGACACUGACGCUCAGGCACGAAAGCGUGGGGAGCAAACAGG